rnacentral:rRNA from 1 species
AACGAACGCUGGCGGCAGGCUUAACACAUGCAAGUCGAACGCAUCCUUCGGGGUGAGUGGCAGACGGGUGAAUAACGCGUGGGAACGUGCCCUUCAGUUCGGAAUAACCCAGGGAACUUGGGCUAAUACCGGACACGUGCGUGAGCAGAAAGAUUUAUCGCUGAAGGAUCGGCCCGCGUCUGAUUAGCUAGUUGGUGAGGUAAUGGCGCACCAAGGCGACGAUCAGUAGCUGGUCUGAGAGGAUGAUCAGCCACAUUGGGACUGAGACACGGCCCAAACUCCUACGGGAGGCAGCAGUGGGGAAUAUUGGACAAUGGGCGCAAGCCUGAUCCAGCCAUGCCGCGUGAGUGAUGAAGGCCUUAGGGUUGUAAAGCUCUUUCAGUGGGGACGAUAAUGACGGUACCCGCAGAAGAAGCCCCGGCUAACUUCGUGCCAGCCGCCGCAGUAAAAC